rnacentral:rRNA from 1 species
UACCUGCAGCUCAAGUGGUGGCCGCUAUUAUUGGGCCUAAAACGUCCGUAGCCGGUUUGGUAAAUGCCUGGGUAAAUCGUGUAGCUUAACUAUACGAAUUCCGGGUAGACUGCCAAACUUGAGACCGGGAGAGGCUAGAGGUACUCCUGGGGUAGAGGUGAAAUUCUGUAAUCCUAGGGGGACCACCAGUGGCGAAGGCGUCUAGCUAGAACGGGUCUGACGGUGAGGGACGAAGCCCUGGGGCACAAACCGGAUUAGAUACCCGGCUAGUCCAGGGUGUAAACGCUGCUUGCUUGAUGUUAGCCGGGCUCCGAGCCCAGCUAGUGUCGGAGAGAAGUUGUUAAGCCCACCACCUGGGAAGUACGGUCGCAAGGCUGAAACUUAAAGGAAUUGGCGGGGGAGCACAGCAACGGGAGGAGCGUGCGGUUU